AUUGAACGCUGGCGGCAGGCCUAACACAUGCAAGUCGAGUGGAUGAAGGGAGCUUGCUCCUGGAUUCAGCGGCGGACGGGUGAGUAAUGCCUAGGAAUCUGCCUGGUAGUGGGGGAUAACGUCCGGAAACGGGCGCUAAUACCGCAUACGUCCUGAGGGAGAAAGUGGGGGAUCUUCGAACCUCACGCUAUCAGAUGAGCCUAGGUCGGAUUAGCUAGUUGGUGGGGUAAAGGCCUACCAAGGCGACGAUCCGUAACUGGUCUGAGAGGAUGAUCAGUCACACUGGAACUGAGACACGGUCCAGACUCCUACGGGAGGCAGCAGUGGGGAAUAUUGGACAAUGGGCGAAAGCCUGAUCCAGCCAUGCCGCGUGUGUGAAGAAGGUCUUCGGAUUGUAAAGCACUUUAAGUUGGGAGGAAGGGCAGUAAGUUAAUACCUUGCUGUUGUGACGUUACCAACAGAAUAAGCACCGGCUAACUUCG
rnacentral:rRNA from 1 species